UACAGAGGUCUCGAGCGUUGUUCGGAUUCAUUGGGCGUAAAGGGUGCGUAGGCGGCGGGGUAAGUCUGAUGUGAAAUCCCGGGGCUCAACUCCGGAACUGCAUUGGAUACUGCCUUGCUUGAGAGCUGGAGAGGAAACUGGAAUUUACGGUGUAGCAGUGAAAUGCGUAGAGAUCGUAAGGAAGACCAGUGGCGAAGGCGAGUUUCUGGACAGCUACUGACGCUGAGGCACGAAGGGCAGGGGAGCAAACGGG
rnacentral:rRNA from 1 species